rnacentral:rRNA from 1 species
CUCUUGACAUCCAGAGAACUUUCCAGAGAUGGAUUGGUGCCUUCGGGAACUCUGAGACAGGUGCUGCAUGGCUGUCGUCAGCUCGUGUUGUGAAAUGUUGGGUUAACGUCCGCAACGAGCGCAACCCCUAUCCUUUGUUGCCAGCGAUUCGGUCGGGAACUCAAAGGAGACUGCCGGUGAUAAACCGGAGGAAGGUGGGGAUGACGUCAAGUCAUCAUGGCCCUUACGAGUAGGGCUACAUACGUGCUACAAUGGCGUAUACAAAGAGAAGCGACCUCGCGAGAGCAAGCGGACCUCAUAAAGUACGUCGUAGUCCGGAUUGGAGUCUGCAACUCGACUCCAUGAAGUCGGAAUCGCUAGUAAUCGUAGAUCAGAAUGCUACGGUGAAUACGUUCCCGGGCCUUGUACACACCGCCCGUCACACCAUGGGAGUGGGUUGCAAAAGAAGUAGAUAGCUUAACCUUCGGGAGGGCGUUUACCACUUUGUGAUUCAUGACUGGGGUGAAGUCGUAACAAGGUAGGCGUAGCGAG